rnacentral:rRNA from 1 species
CUAACAAGGAUUCCCCCAGUAACGGCGAGUGAAGCGGGAAGAGCUCAAGCUUAAAAUCUCCAUACUUGUAUGGCGAAUUGUAGUCUAUUGAGGCUGUUGUCAGCAUCGCGAUUGGGGACAAGUCCCUUGGAAAAGGGCAGCAUAGAGGGUGAUACUCCCGUCUCUGCUCCAAUCUGCGGUGUGUACGAUACGCUUUCUUUGAGUCGAGUUGUUUGGGAAUACAGCUCAAAGUAGGUGGUAAAUUCCAUCUAAAGCUAAAUAUUGGUGCGAGACCGAUAGCGAACAAGUACCGUGAGGGAAAGAUGAAAAGAACUUUGAAAAGAGAGUUAAAGAGUACCUGAAACUGUUGAAAGGGAACCGUAUCGUUUCCAGUGUUGUAUCCUAUGCAUAUUUCAUUCGCGGAGUAAUUUGCGGGUGCCCUGUGCAUGGGUGUGACGUCAGGGUCAGUUUGUAUGCUGCGGGAGAUGGUCAGUGAGGAGGUGCGUCACUUCGGUGAAAGUUAUAUCUCGCUGUCUAGUAGCCGUGGUUGAGACUGAGGUGCCUACAACAUGCCUUAAGGUUCCGUGUUGUCUCGUGUUGGUGACUGCUUUGAUAGCUUGCUAUGUCUGUGGUUUAUCAGUGCGAUUGAUGAUGCGGAUAACUUUUGCUGUUCGGGACUCUGGCGAAAUGGAGCGAUACGACCCGUCUUGA